GUUUGAGUACUUGUGAGUUUCUGACAUAAUAGAAUGAAAGAAGAUCAGAGCAGGAAGAUAUUUUAGAGAUUGGAGCCCUGGCCCAGAAAUUGGUUGUUAUGAUUUGAGAAGAGUCAAAGCUUGACUCAGGAUUUGAAAACUGGAAAGGUGGAGGCGACAGCAGUCAGUUGGAGUGAGCACCCCUCAAAGUUCUACAAUGUGGCCAAGGACUUUGAUUGUACAUUGUUCUUUUUUUAAAUAGUCAUUCCAAAUAUCAUGAGAUGCAUUGUUACAGGAAGUCCCUUGCCCUCCCAAAAGCCACCCCACUUCUCUCUAAGGAGAAUGCCCCAGUCCUCUCCACACAGGGGAGGUGAUAGCAUUGCUUUCAUAUAAAUUAUGUAAUGCAAAAAAUGUUUAAUCUUCACCUUAAUACUUUUUAAAUUUUGUUUUAUUUUGAAUGAUCAGCCAUUGUGAUCCCCCUUUUUUGCCCCUCAACUUGACGUGUAUGAAGGUUUUUGGUCUUUCUGGGAGUGGGUGGAGGUGUGGAGGCAGCCAGGGCUUACCUGUACACUGACUUGAGACCAGUUGAAUAAAAGAGCACACCUUAAAAAAAAAAAAAGAUACUAACUCCAACCUUACUCUGGUAUAACAUCACAUGACAGAUAACAGGCCCUAAAGGAAAUCAAAGUAUUCUAUCCUAAAAUAUGUUUCUUUGACAUAUUUUGAAAUGGCCCUGCAAAACCAUCUCUUGUGGGGGAAAUCUACAUUCUGUAGAGAAUGCCCUUCCCUUUCCAGGUCUUUUCCUGUUCCAGGAGAGAAUUAACUAAGAGUCUGACACCUUUUAAGGUCCAAUAAGAAACAUUCACCACCUAUUCUUUCUGUAGCCUGCUACCUGGAACCUUCAUCUAUAUCACAAGAAUCUUGGAUUCCACAACCACCUCCUUACCUUAAGUCAAGUUGACUUUAACUCUUCAGGCAGAGAUUAACUCCUUCAACCAAUUUGCUAAUCAGGAAAACCUUUGAAUGUACCUAUGACCUAGAAGAUCCCCUGCUUUGAGAUGUCCCACCUUUGUGGGCAGAACCAAUGUAUACCUUGCCUAUAUUGAUUUAUGUCUUUGCCUAUGACUUCUGUCUCCCCAAAAUGUAUAAAAUCACCUUAUAAUCCUACCAUCUUGGGCACAUAUUCUCAGGACCCCCUGAAGCUGUGUCAUGGGCCAUGAUCCUUAAUCUUGGCAAAAUAAACCUCUAAAUUGAUUGAGACCUGUCUCAGAUACUUUUUGAUUUACAGAAGAUACAACCUAAAGAACGGGGAAAAUAUUUGCAAACCAUACAUCUUAUAAGGGGUUAAUAACCAAAAUUGUAGGGAACUCUAACAAAUCAAUAGCGAAAAUACAAGAAAUCUGAUUUUUAAAAUGAGCAAAAGACCUAAUGUAUUAGUCCAUUCUCACACUGCCAUGAAGAAAUACCCAAGACUGGGUAAUUUAUAAAGAAAAGAGGUUUAAUUGACUCAAGUUAUGCAUGGCUGGAAAGGCCUCAGGAAGCUUACCAUCAUGGCAGAAGGCAAAGGGGAAGAAAGGCACCUUCUUCACAGGGCAGCAGGAAGGAGAUGUGCUGAGCAAAAGUGAAAAAGCCCCUUAUAAAAUCAUCAGAUCUCGUGAGAACUCACUAUCACGAGAACAGCAUGGGGGUAAUCGCCCCCAUGAUUCAAUUACCUCCCACCAGGUCCCUCCCACAACACAUGGGGAUUAUGGGAACUACAAGAUGAGAUUUGGGUGGGGACACAGCCAAACCAUAUCACUUAAAUACGCAUUUUUCAAAAGAAAACAUACAAAUGACCAACAGGUAUAUGAAAAAAUGCUCAACAUCACUAAUCAUCAGGAAAAUGAAAAUCAAAUCCACAAUGAGAUAAGCUCACACCCGUUAGAGUGGCUAUUUUCAAAAGGACAACUUUUAGAAAGGAUGUGGAGAAAAAGAAACCCUUGCAUGCUCUUGGUGGGAAUAUAAAUUCGUACAACCAUUUUGGAAAACAUUAUGGGGGUUUCUGAAGAAAUUAAAAAUACAACUACCAUAGGGUCCAGCAAUCCCACUACUGGGUGUAUAUCCAAAGGAAAUAAAAUCAGUAUGUUGUAGAGAUAUCUGUGCCCCCAUGUUGAUUGCAGCACUGUUUAUAAUAGCCAUGAUGUUAAGUCAACCUAAGAGUCCAUCAAUGAAUGAAUGAAUAAAGAAAACGUGGUACAUAUACACAGUGGAAUACUGUUCAGUUACAAAAAAGAAGGAAAUUCUGUUGUUUGCAGCAAAAUGGAUGAUCCUGGAAGACAUUAUGUUAAGUGAAAUAAGCCAGGCAUAGCAAGACAAAUACCACAUAUUCUCACUCAUAUGUGGAAUCUAAAAAAGUUGAUCUCAUAGAAUUAAAAAGAAGAAUGGCAGCUACCAGAAGCUAGGGUGGUUGCGGGGAGGGGAGUUCGGGAGAUGUUGGUGAAAGUAUACAUAAUUACUAUUAGCUAGGAGGAAUAAGUUCAAGAGAUCUAUUGUAUAGUAUGGUGACUAUAAUUAAUAAUGAUAUAUUAUAUUUUUGAAAAAUGCUAAGAGAGUAGAUGUUAAGUGUUCUUACCACAAAAUGACAACUAUGUGAGGUAAUGCAUUUAUUAAUUAGCUAGAUUAGAGUUAACCAUUUUACAAUGUAUAUGUACUUUGAAACAUUAUUUUCUACAUGAUAAAUACAUACAAUUUUAUAUGUCAAUUUAAAAAUAAAUACAUUUUAAAAACAAAACAACAACAAAAAUAAAGUGGUAUUCUAUAUUCUCCUUAGCUUUGGCAAGAAAAAUGUCAAAGAUAUAAAUAAACGGUUGAAUAAAUACGUGGAGAAAAUAUAAACCCAAACCUUCUUUUAUAAUGCUAAUGUUUCUUCAAGGAAUGGAAAGUAAUUUUAAUAUUACCUUAAAUAAGCCAUGGUUAAUAAAAUUAUAGAUAUUCGUUGUAUGUCGGGCAGUAUGAUUUGACAGAUAUCAUCUCAAUUAUCACAAGGGCACCUUAAAGAAGGCUUUAUUUUCAGAUGAGGAAACUGGAGCUUAGAGAGAGCAUUUAGACUACCCAAGGUCUUGCAGCUUCUAAGUGGUGGAGCUGGAAUUGGAACUCAAGUAGUGAGACUUUAGAACUUACUUUCCAAGAUGAAUAUGUUAUACUGCUUCCCUGUAUGCUAAAAUAGGAGCACAGUCUUGGUCAUAAAAUGUUGUUUUUGAAGUGCAUGGUAGCAUAAAUUAUUUUUGGACCAUCUUUUCCUUCUUACACUCAUUGCCCUUGUGAAUACAUUUCUGAAAUAUUUAUUUGAUUCAUGCCUUCCUACUGCAUUUUAAGCUCAGUGACGUUGGACUCUGUCUUUUUGUCCACCUCUGCUUUCCAAAUUCCAGCACAGUUAGUUACUGUACAGAGUGAGCAUUAAGGAGCUUUUGUUGAUUGUAUAAAUGAUCUGUUCCUCUACUUCUCUUUGUUAAUGAGGAAAAGACAAGUUGCUGAGGAAUCUAAGACAAUUUUAAUUAUCUGGUUUCUAUAACUAUGGUACCCUGUCCUGACAGCUCUUAGCACUUGUAAUAUCUAAUUAUUCAGGAGGCAACAUUUGUUAGCUGCCUUAUUUUAAGCACAAUAUCAACUCUUAGAUGGGAAUUAUAUUUUCAUAUUCAUAGGGUUCAUAAAUGUACCUUUUGAAGUUUUCAUGGGGGUGGUAUUUUAAAUGUACUUUUAAAAAGCUGCACUCAGAGGAACUAAUUUGAUUUUUUUUUUUUUUUUGGCUGACAAGAUUUUCCUAGGUAUGGCUGAGAUGCUAACAAAUGUACCUUUCCAGUAGUAAUGUAUGCAUAUCAUAGAGUGCUCUACUUGAAGAUGACUCUGUAUCUUCCCUUGGAACCUUAGGAAGGAGCGCUACAUUUGAUCUUUCUACACUCUGCAGCUGUGGAACCUAUAACAUGUUUUGCUGCCAUUCAUUCAUAGUAUGCAAGAUGAGUUUUAUAUAGUACCUAGGAAAGUGCCUGGUACAUAGUAGGCACUCAAUAAAUGCUGGUUGGCUGACUGAUUGAAUGAAUAAAUGCAUGAAUCUAUGGUUUGAGUCAACUUGAUAUGAUUUAAAGAAACAGAAAUGCUUCCUCUCUGCCUGCAAAUGACAAAACUCCCAUAUGCAUCCAUUUUGGGGGGUUAAAGCUUUAGAAGGCAGUUAGAGUGCAACUAUACCAAAUGAGUUCCUUUUUUUUGAGACAGGAGUCUGGCUCUGUCGCCCAGGCUGGAGUGC
rnacentral:lncRNA from 1 species